UACGGGGGGGGGCAAGCGUUGUUCGGAAUUACUGGGCGUAAAGGGCUUGUAGGUGGCCAACUAAGUCAGACGUGAAAUCCCUCGGCUUAACCGGGGAACUGCGUCUGAUACUGGAUGGCUUGAGUGUGGGAGAGGGAUGCGGAAUUCCAGGUGUAGCGGUGAAAUGCGUAGAUAUCUGGAGGAACACCGGUGGCGAAGGCGGCAUCCUGGACCAUUACCGACACUGAAAAGCGAAAGCCAGGGGAGCAAACGGGG
rnacentral:rRNA from 1 species